rnacentral:rRNA from 1 species
AACGAACGCUGGCGGCAUGCCUAACACAUGCAAGUCGAACGAGACCUUCGGGUCUAGUGGCGCACGGGUGCGUAACGCGUGGGAACCUGCCCUUAGGUUCGGAAUAACUCCCCGAAAGGGGUGCUAAUACCGGAUAAUGUCUUCGGACCAAAGAUUUAUCGCCUUUGGAUGGGCCCGCGUUGGAUUAGCUAGUUGGUAGGGUAAAAGCCUACCAAGGCGACGAUCCAUAGCUGGUCUGAGAGGAUGAUCAGCCACACUGGGACUGCGACACGGCCCAGACUCCUACGGGAGGCAGCAGUGGGGAAUAUUGGACAAUGGGCGAAAGCCUGAUCCAGCAGUGCCGCGUGAGUGAUGAAGGCCUUAGGGUUGUAAAGCUCUUUUACCCGGGAUGAUAAUGACAGUACCGGGAGAAUAAGCUCCGGCUAACUCCGUG